rnacentral:rRNA from 1 species
CUCCACAAUGUGGGCCACCACGAUGGGGGGAUUCCACGUGGACGUCUUUUAUACGUCCUGCUCCCAAGCCUAAAAAGCUUGAGACGUAAGGGCCGGGUAAGACGGGUGCCAGCCGCCGCGGUAAUACCCGCGGCCCGAGUGGUGCUCAUUAUUAUUGAGCCUAAAGCGUUCGUAGCUGGCCGGGUAAAUCCUUGGGGAAAUCGGGCGACCUAAUCGACCGAAGACCAGGGACACUACUUGGCUUGGGAUCGGGAGAGGGUGAUAGUACUUCCUGGGUAGGGGUAAAAUCCUGUAAUCCAGGGGGGACUACCAGUGGCGAAGGCGAUCACCUAGAACGAAUCCGACAGUGAGGGACGAAGCCCUAGGGCGCAAACGGG